GUUUCUAGGAGAUGAACCAGUGUUUGUAGCGAUUCUUCCAGAUCUCUGGUCCCAUCGAGCAACCUGCUAUCAGAGCCUACUGAAUGGCCCUCCUCUGAACACAGCACAACCGAAGAGCCGAAUUUGAAUUGCCACUAUGGUGGCGUCGGGCAGCCAUGGUCCGGUAGCAGUGGAGGCGGCCGGUAUGUCUUUCUGAUGAUACACAACCAUCUCCUUGGAAGAAAUUCUGUCCGUCGUCAGUAACAGUUUACCGUGUCUUCCUGUACCAGAGUCUCUAAACCUGUUGUCUUUUCCGGGGGAGAGAUUCUGCCAAGAAGGACACCAAAAAAAAAAAGCAAAAGAAAGCCAAAGAAAAAUUGGUCCAUUGCGGGUAAAAUUUGCAAGUGAAGUUGAAAAUGGACAACACUAAAGAAGGACUUUAAGUUAUUACAGUAUGGUGAGGCUCUGUAUUGUCUGAUGCAGGUGAAAACCUAAUGUGAUCAUCAUGCUUCGGGCUUUCUUCUGAGUACAGAUGAAGAGGAAAACAUGCAAACAUGAAGGGAAGAGCUCAGAGCAGAUAUUUUCUGGGCGAGCAUGCGAAUAAGAGGGAAUUACGAAGAAAAGAAAGGAGUUUAGACGUGUGAAGUUGCUUACCGAGAGCCAAGAAAGAAUUGGAAUGGUUGGCGUUGUUUGCAGUGACCAAGCGCUCCUUCUUCUUGCGGAUAUCGUGGAGAAGUUUCUGAGCGAAGCUGGAUUUGGUGGGCAUGAUCGUAUGCCAAGACGGCAAACGGCUCUUGGAAAGAGCCAAAGAGUAGGAGGAGUUCUACUAAUAACUUGCCAAGCAGAAGCAGUUCUUUUCUGAACUUGCUUCCUUUGUCCUGAGCGAGGGAACUGCAGAGAUGCUGAUGAUGAUGAUAACUAGACGGUGGCAGUUGGCGAGGUGUUUCUGCUUGGGUGGUAACUGUCGCUGGUCCGGAAGUUGGUCGAUCGUCAUCUUUGUUGGAGAAGUUUGAAGCAAACGCUUGCUCUCUCUCUCCCCUUCUCUGUCUUUCUGCAAUGGCCCUUCCAUUGAGUAAGGUGCACUCUCUCUCCCCCUCUCUCUCUCCUACCGCCUCCUAGGAAGAAGAGGCCAUCUGUGAGUUUGGAUUUCUCCAAAUGGAUUGUAGUGGUUGAGGAAGUAUCUGCUGAGAAGCUACCCAAGAAGGAAUACAUCAAUCCCCAUCACUUACCUCUCUCCCCCCUCCACCCCUCGAUCAGGGCUUUGUGGCAAGCUUUGUUUCUUUUAGGAGACAUGCAGAAUUUGUUUUUGUAUUUAGAUAAUCUAAAACUUCUUCAAGUUUAGCAA